rnacentral:rRNA from 1 species
AUUGAACGCUGGCGGCAUGCCUUACACAUGCAAGUCGAACGGCAGCGGGGGAGAAGCUUGCUUUUCCUGCCGGCGAGUGGCGAACGGGUGAGUAAUAGAUCGGAACGUGCCCUGUAGUGGGGGAUAACUAGUCGAAAGAUUAACUAAUACCGCAUACGACAUGACGGUGAAAGUGGGGGACCGCAAGGCCGCAUGCUAUAGUAGCGGCCGAUGUUGGAUUAGCUAGUUGGUGGGGUAAAGGCCUACCAAGGCGACGAUCAGUAGCUGGUCUGAGAGGACGAUCAGCCACACUGGGACUGAGACACGGCCCAGACUCCUACGGGAGGCAGCAGUGGGGAAUUUUGGACAAUGGGCGAAAGCCUGAUCCAGCAAUGCCGCGUGUGUGAAGAAGGCCUUCGGGUUGUAAAGCACUUUUGUCCGGAAAGAAAUGGCUCUGGUUAAUACCUGGGGUCGAUGACGGUACCGGAAGAAUAAGGACCGGCUAACUACGUGCCAGCCGCCGCAGUAA